GACGAACGCUGGCGGCGUGCUUAACACAUGCAAGUCGAGCGGUAAGGCCCUUUCGGGGGUACGACGAGCGGCGAACGGGUGAGUAACACGUGGGUGACCUGCCCUCAGCUCUGGGAGUAAGCCUCGGGAAACCGGGUACUAAUACCGGAUAUGACUCCAUGACGCAUGUUGUGGGGUGGAAAGCCUUGUGCGGCUGAGGAUGGGCCCGCGGCCUAUCAGCUUGUUGGUGGGGUGAUGGCCUACCAAGGCGACGACGGGUAGCCGGCCUGAGAGGGCGACCGGCCACACUGGGACUGAGACACGGCCCAGACUCCUACGGGAGGCAGCAGUGGGGAAUCUUGCGCAAUGGGCGAAAGCCUGACGCAGCGACGCCGCGUGAGGAUGACGG
rnacentral:rRNA from 1 species